rnacentral:tmRNA from 1 species
CUCGUAGAAGUCUUAUUAAGAUGUUUUAGGACCGGAGUUCGAUUCUCCGCACCUCCACCA